rnacentral:sRNA from 1 species
CCAGGCGGAAGGGCCUUGCGGGUUGUGUUCUCAGCAAGGAGGAGCCGGGAGAGAGGUGCGGGAGCCGCCAAGGUCUCAGGCAAGGUCAGGGACUGACGGCAGGAAAGUUGGGGGAGCAGCAUCAGAGGAUAACGGGCCUAAGGCUCUGGGCUCACCGCAGGCACUCCCUCGCCUUCUCCGCCUCUUCCCGGGGCCCAGUGCUGCCCCCUGCCUGCUUCACAGGAGCCCCAGGAAGCUCCGAUCUUCCUUCUCUAGGCUCAAAACCCCCGCCAUGGAGAAGGGGGGAAUGCAAAUUUUAUCUAUGGAACUGGAGGUUACUUGUUGAAGUCCCCUGAUGUGGGGGGAAAAAGCAACGCAGCCCUAAUCCUGAAGCUGAGGGUAUCUGUGAGGCCCUGGUCCAGAGGGCAGGCAAAGACAGGGAUUGAGGCCUGCUCUCCCCAGUGCUGAGGAUAGAAAGCUGUUUCUCCAGGCCUCCAGAGCACAGUCUCAAGGGAUGCCCGCCCCACACCACCGCGGCGGGCGAGGUUGCCUUUCAGGCGGUCCAGAAGCAGUUG